GUAGGUGGCAAGCGUUGUCCGGAAUUAUUGGGCGUAAAGCGCGCGCAGGUGGGUUCUUUAAGUCUGAUGUGAAAGCCCCCGGGCUCAACCGGGGAGGGUCAUUGGAAACUGGGGAACUUGAGUGCAGGAGAGGAAAGUGGAAUUCCACGUGUAGUGGUGAAAUGCGUAGAUAUGUGGAGGAACACCAGUGGCGAAGGCGACUUUCUGGCCUGUAACUGACACUGAGGCGCGAAAGCGUGGGGAGCAAACAGGAUUAGAUACCCUGGUAGUCCACGCCGUAAACGAUGAGUGCUAAGUGUUGGGGGGUUUCCGCCCCUCAGUGCUGCAGCUAACGCAUUAAGCACUCCGCCUGGGGAGUACGGUCGCAAGACUG
rnacentral:rRNA from 1 species